CAUUUGAACCUGAAUCUGCUCCCACACCUGCACUUUUGUAUGGAGAUUUGUGUUCGUUUAAUGCUUCCUGAAGAGAUCUCGCUUGUUACUUGCCCUCCAGAUUAUGCAUAUGAUAAGUUUACAAGGCCUUCUAGUGUUCCUGAAGGAGCUUAUGUUCAGUGGGAAAUUGAGCUACUUGGCUUUGAAAUGCCUAAGGUGUAUACCAUCCAUUUAUUUGGAGAUCAUUACCAAAACAUCUGAAGGACUCCAAGUAAAUGUUUUGCUUGUCUCAGUAACUGUGGUUGAUGUAAUAAAAUAC